rnacentral:lncRNA from 1 species
AGAAAACAGGAGUGGGGCCCAGUGACCCAUGAAGCAGCCAGGAGGCUGCUGCCGUUGAAGGGCCGGAAAUGCCGGGGUCUUGUCCCCAGCGGUUGCAACAGACACAUGGAGACAAAUUGUUGGACAGCGCGGGACACUAUUUUGUAGGAGGAGCCAAUGGGUGAAACGAAUAAGAGUGCGGAGAGAAGAGCAGGAGAGAGAGCAGGGCAGAGGUUGCUCUCCGAAGUCCAGAUUCUGAAUCCAGAGACUCCUGGCUGAACGACGCUGAGCCAGCAGCAACACCUCUGCUGCUCCGGAGUCUUCCUUGGAAGGAAGAUGCUCAGUGGGUUCAGGAGUUGACGCGCGGAGGCAGGCAAGGUGCCCAUCAAGCCACCCAGGAUCCGGAUUCCGC